GAUGAACGCUAGCGGCAGGCUUAACACAUGCAAGUCGAGGGGCAGCGCGGGAUAGCAAUAUCCUGGCGGCGACCGGCGGAAGGGUGCGUAACGCGUGAGCGACAUGCCCGUUGCCCGGGGACAACCGGUGGAAACGCCGACUAAUCCCCGAUGGGAUAUUGUGCCGCAUGGCACGAUAUUGAAAGUUACGGCGGCGACGGAUUGGCUCGCGUCCGAUUAGCUGGUUGGCGGGGUAACGGCCCACCAAGGCUGCGAUCGGUAGGGGUUCUGAGAGGAAGGCCCCCCACAAUGGGACUGAGACACGGCCCAUACUACUACGGGAGGCAGCAGUGAGGAAUAUUGGUCAAUGGGCGGAAGCCUGAACCAGCCAGGCCGCGUGCGGGAAGGAGGCCCUAUGGGCUGUGAACCGCUUUUGCCUGGGGGCAAUAAGGGCGUCGCGCACGUCCGAUGAGAGUACCAGGCGAAUAAGCAUCGGCUAACUCCGUG
rnacentral:rRNA from 1 species